rnacentral:rRNA from 1 species
UACAGAGGGUGCAAGCGUUGCUCGGAAUCAUUGGGCGUAAAGGGUAGGUAGGUGGUCUCAUUUGUCUGGGGUGAAAGCCUUGAGCUUAACUCGAGAAGUGCCCCGGAAACGGUGAGACUGGAGUCUUGGAGAGGUUAGCGGAAUUCCCGGUGUAGCGGUGAAAUGCGUAGAGAUGUGGAGGAACACCAGUGGCGAAGGCGGCAUCCUGGACCGGUAUUGACGCUGAGGCGCGAAAGCCAGGGGAGCAAACGGG